rnacentral:lncRNA from 1 species
AAAGAUCAGAUCCCCCUAGACCUAAGGUGAGCACCGUUUCUGGUGCUCUCAUCUUCAACAAAAAACAAUCAGACUCACCUCCCACAUAAAAAAACAAAACUCAGCCUCUACCAUUUUCCAAUUAGUUGCAACACACACAACAGAGAUAACAAACGGGAAAAGGGGAAAAACGAAAAAAGAAUAAAACAACAAAACAGAGGAAAAGAACAAACAGAAUUGAGCUCAUAUUUUUGGGUUUUAUUCUUUGGGUUAUGAGUGGCUGUGAUUGAUUGUGAAGACGCUUUGUUCACUUUCAGCUAUUUGCUCUUUGUAAUCUCCUUUUAGAUGUUGUCGUUUUCCUCCAAGUAUCAUGUCAUUAAAACCCAAAUGAGAAUUAGCUAAUUUCAUUGUAAAACCACAUGAGAAAUUCGAGUCAGUAAGGUUUUUUCGUCGAGGUGCAGUCCCUGUUUCCGGAAGUUCCAGUCAAGGUCGUCAUUUGACAUUAUAUGCCUUAGUUCAGAUCCGCAUAUUAAUUUAACUUGAAAGGAAGUUGCAAUUGAAGGUGCAUUUCUCUUCACUAAUCCUACUUAAUAUAUAUUAGUGUUUCCUUGUUUCUAAUAUUUUUUUUAUUUUACUGCUUCGUCGUGAUUCGCUAUGUCGUAUACUGGAAUUAGGCCAUUUUCUUGGCUGGAAGACGUCUACUUUAAAUACCUUCUGUUUUGAUAUAAAUGCUUUGCUUAUAUCUUAAUAUGUGUAUUUAAAAGUGUACUACAGUUUUUAUUUUGCGGAAAAUAUUGUACUAAUUGCUUAUGUCCAGGUUUUCAGUUUCAAAGAACAAUUGAUACUACUAGAUUCCUUUUUCUCCAUUAUUUAAUGUCUGGCCUUGAGAGUAUGAUCCAAUUUGGAAAACUUAUUUGAUAUCUUACUUGCUUGAUCUCAUCCUAGCGUCUACUGUUGCAUGUAAAUAUUUGAAACAAAUUUUCUUUACUCAUUUUGCAGCCUUUUUUUGUGGUCUAAUCACUCUUUAAUUUACCGUUCUUGACAUGCGUAUAUAAGUAAUGUAGAGUCAACACUUUGAACUCUAGUAGUUUGCUUUAAGCGCGUUAAUUAAAUAAUUGUCAUAGCUACGGGUACGGUUCCUGUGACGUGGCCGUGAUACUUAAUUUCUAAAAUCCGGGUGUGCAUUGAUGUGACCCAAAUCCAAAUCUCAACAACGUUAGAUAAAAUGUGUCGUGGACCGCGGGUGCAUUUAUGUGACGUGGUUCAAGAUGUAUUUUAGAUGACGUUGAAUCUUUCUCCUAAAAAAUAAUUAAUUAAAGUGGUUAUAAAGUUAAAAUUGAACCAUAGGUUAAAACAUAUAUUAAAAUCAAGUAAAUAGGCCAAAUAUAACAGUUGAGCGACCGUACUAGAACCAUGGAACACGGGAAUGCCUAACACCUUCUCCCGGGUUAACAUAAUUCCUUACCCGGAUUUCUUUGUUCGCGGACUGUGAUACAGAGUCAAUCUUUUCCUCGAUUUGGGAUUUGAACCGGUGACUUGGGACAUCAUAAAAUUAUCUCAAGUGGCGACACUGAAUUUGAUAAAUAAAUAAUCCUGCUUCGAUUGUCACUUUAAGUUGGAAAAAACUCAUAUAUACUACCCUUUUGGGGUGUAGGAAAAAAGGAGGCGUGACACCUAAGAAUAUUGAAAUUUGGGGAUUUAGACCUCAAAUUGAGGUCGGAUUCCAAAACCAAUUAUAUAUCCGGGCUCGGGGGUGAAUGGGUAAUCGAGUUUUCGUUCGAACCUCGGGUUUUGACCAUGUGGGCCCGGGGGAGAUUCUUGAAUUUUGGAUAAAACUUUGGAAAACUUAUUUUCAGGCAUUAGAAUUGACUCAUUUAGCGUUUAUAGACAUAAUUAAGUAAGUUGUGGCUACAUACGAGCGAAUGGUGGUAGAAUCAAGAGGUAAAGUGAUAGUUGAGACUUGAAUUGUGUUCGUGGCAUCGAGGUAAGUGUUUGGUCUAACCUUAGCUUGAGGGAUUAGGAGUCGUGUCUUAUUUGCUAUGUGGUAACUGUGGAGUACGACGUAUAGGCAUAGUGACGAGUAUUUAUAUGUCGGUGUCAAGCAUGCCCGUGAGUCUUGUAUUGUAAUUGUUUUGACACUUUGUGGUUUAUUGCGCUUCAUAUUAGGAUUAUCAUUGUUGUUCCCUAUCCAGGAUGUUAUUAUCAUUAUUGUUCCCUUGCCGGGAUGUUAUUGUCAUAUUAUUGUUCCCUUGCUGGGAUGUUUGUUUUGAUAUUAUUGUUCCCUUGUCGGGAUGUUGUUGAAAUAUUAUUGUUCCCUUGUCGGGAUGUUGUUAUAUUGCUCUUGUUCCCUUGCCGGGAUUCUUUAGUGAUUGUUGUUGAUUUGUAAAUGGGAUUGAGUGGCAUGCCGCCACAGAAGAUAUAUGAAAUGGGAGCGGGUUGCACGCCUGUAACAAGAUAUAUGAAAUGGGAUCGGGUUGCAUGCCUGCAACGAGAUACAUGAAAUGGGAUCGGGUUGCAUGCCUGCAACAAGAUGUGGAAUGAAAGUGAAUUCUAUAUUUGUUUUCCUUUUCCCUGUUAGUAAUUGGAUUUUGGGUUCUUUAUAUUCCUCUUGAUAUUCUGUUGUUAUCUGUUAUUCUUGAAGCAUGGUUUCCCCCUCCCGUCUUUAACAGUAAUUAUCUGCUUUUUAUUUUUCCGCUAUACAUGAUUUAACUGCACAGAUUUAUUUGGUAGUCUGGUCCUAGCCUCGUCACUACUUCGCCGAGGCUAGGCUAGGCACUUACCAGCACAUGGGGUCGGUUGUGCUGAUACUACAUUCUGCACUAUAUGCAGAUAAUGGUACCUGAGCGUUUGGACCGCAGUGAGGUUGCUGCUUUCAGUCCAAUAGGCGACCCGAGGUAGUCCAGCAGACGUCCGCGGGCCUUGGCAUCACCCCCUAUCGUUUCUCUUUCUGUUUCUACUUAUUCAGAGAUAGACUUAUGUAUUUCAUUCAGACUUUGUUUGUAGUGUUCUUAGACUAUCUAUGAAGAUGUGACUCCAGUUCUGGGUAGUAUUGUACUUCAAAUUAUGUAGCAGCGUUCGGUUGGAAUAUUUAAGUUUCGGCUUGCGCAUUUUCCGCUUGUUUAAUCUUAUUCCGUUGUUUAACUACUUAGUAUGUUACAUUGUUUAAUAUGUUUAAAUAAAAUGGGAGAUAAAUUCACAAUAUUCGGCUUGCCUAGCUUCCACAAGUAAGCGCCAUCACGACUCCUAAGAGUGGAAAAUCUUGGUCGUGACAAUGAAGACGACGGUUCAAUGGCACAGGUGGCCGACCAUCACUGACGCCCAUUAAUGACUUAGGAAACUGUACUGACGAGAUGUGUCAAUCACUUCCGCCGCUUACAUCACGGGGAUGACGUCAUGACAGGUCAAAGUACAAAAUCAAAGGCUCAAUUUGUUUCUUCUCAUUACAUUCCAAGAAAUGAGGGGACUAUCUGUAUAUGGUUAAAAUCGGGCUUACCCGAUUUUACUAUUUGGUCGAGACCAGGGGGUUGCAUCUAAGGUCAGCAUCGUAGUGGAUCAAACUAGAACACGAAGAUAAGGUACCGAGUUUGAGAAUCGAGGUAUCUGUCGAGAUCGGGCCGGCG